rnacentral:rRNA from 1 species
GACGGAGGGCGCAAGCGUUGUUCGGAAUUACUGGGCGUAAAGCGCACGCAGGUGGUCCCUUAAGUCCACUGUUAAAUCACGGGGCUCAACCCCCGGAGGUGCAGCGGAUACUGAGGGACUGGAGACCGGUAGAGGCUAGCGGAAUUCCUGGUGUAGCGGUGGAAUGCGUAGAUAUCAGGAGGAACACCGGUGGCGAAGGCGGCUAGCUGGGCCGGUUCUGACGCUGAUGCGCGAAAGCGUGGGUAGCAAACAGG